rnacentral:lncRNA from 1 species
UCACGUACAUCAGUAUCUGCAAAGCUAAAGCAUUGCUGUCCCGGUAGCAAUCAGUUGCUCAACAUCCUGACACAGAUUUUGGCUGAUAAAAUAGUUGCUGGGCAAAUGCAGCUGUAAACAGAACUUGGGUUUUGAUAAAAGUUACAUCUAAUGCAAUUGUCAUGUAAAGCUUCAGUAAACACAGCUUUCUAAAAAUUCUCUGAUAGUUUUCAUUUGCAUUUCAGGCUCAUGGAGACUGCUGCCUCAACAGUGUGGAAAUAAAAUCCUCUGUAAAGGGAACAUGCAACUUUCUCCUGGUAAAUGAACUUGGACACACUUCAGCCCCCAGUUAAUACAGCAGGAACUGCAUGUACAAGCAGGUCCAAGUAAGUCCGGGGUGGAUCUAGCUUCACUGUCUCUGAUUAUAUCUGUGGGCAAAAGAAGAGAGAGGAAGAAAGAGAAAAAACAUUGUCAGACUGACAAGGUUAGACCAAAACUAAGCAAGGAGGAAAACAGCUCUUCUACUCCAGGAUGUGAAUAGCAGAAAGUGCUUCUCAUUAUUUCAUCCAUAGCUGUCUUCUUAAAAGCACACUAAGGUUUUGCAUCACCUUGGUAACUGUAGAUCUUGGAGCAGAUGUUUUAAAUACGAUAAAGACAAUGGCAGUAUGUCCUCUUGCUAUGAAACUCCCAGCAAGUGGACGUGGUCCAGAAUUCCAUUCCAGAAGAUGAUUUCACAACAGUGAAUUAAAUCAGGAUUUCUACUCAC